rnacentral:rRNA from 1 species
GGGUUGUGAGGUUAAGCGACUAAGCGUACACGGUGGAUGCCCUGGCAGUCAGAGGCGAUGAAGGACGUGCUAAUCUGCGAUAAGCGUCGGUAAGGUGAUAUGAACCGUUAUAACCGGCGAUUUCCGAAUGGGGAAACCCAGUGUGAUUCGUCACACUAUCAUUAACUGAAUCCAUAGGUUAAUGAGGCGAACCGGGGGAACUGAAACAUCUAAGUACCCCGAGGAAAAGAAAUCAACCGAGAUUCCCCCAGUAGCGGCGAGCGAACGGGGAGGAGCCCAGAGCCUGAAUCAGUGUGUGUGUUAGUGGAAGCGUCUGGAAAGGCGCGCGAUACAGGGUGACAGCCCCGUACACAAAAAUGCACAUGCUGUGAGCUCGAUGAGUAGGGCGGGACACGUGGUAUCCUGUCUGAAUAUGGGGGGACCAUCCUCCAAGGCUAAAUACUCCUGACUGACCGAUAGUGAACCAGUACCGUGAGGGAAAGGCGAAAAGAACCCCGGCGAGGGGAGUGAAAAAGAACCUGAAACCGUGUACGUACAAGCAGUGGGAGCCUCUUUAUGGGGUGACUGCGUACCUUUUGUAUAAUGGGUCAGCGACUUAUAUUCUGUAGCAAGGUUAACCGAAUAGGGGAGCCGAAGGGAAACCGAGUCUUAACUGGGCGUUAAGUUGCAGGGUAUAGACCCGAAACCCGGUGAUCUAGCCAUGGGCAGGUUGAAGGUUGGGUAACACUAACUGGAGGACCGAACCGACUAAUGUUGAAAAAUUAGCGGAUGACUUGUGGCUGGGGGUGAAAGGCCAAUCAAACCGGGAGAUAGCUGGUUCUCCCCGAAAGCUAUUUAGGUAGCGCCUCGUGAAUUCAUCUCCGGGGGUAGAGCACUGUUUCGGCAAGGGGGUCAUCCCGACUUACCAACCCGAUGCAAACUGCGAAUACCGGAGAAUGUUAUCACGGGAGACACACGGCGGGUGCUAACGUCCGUCGUGAAGAGGGAAACAACCCAGACCGCCAGCUAAGGUCCCAAAGUCAUGGUUAAGUGGGAAACGAUGUGGGAAGGCCCAGACAGCCAGGAUGUUGGCUUAGAAGCAGCCAUCAUUUAAAGAAAGCGUAAUAGCUCACUGGUCGAGUCGGCCUGCGCGGAAGAUGUAACGGGGCUAAACCAUG